AAAAAAUAUCCAUAUGAAUAUGUCCCACUUUGAUUAACAUGAUUUUCAUGCUGUUACAAUAAUUUUUUAAUUCUUGUUUGGCUUUUGGAAGAUCUACUGGAAAGUAGUUUGUUUUGGGAUUCUCAUUUAGGUGCCACUGUUUUUCAUCUUUUCUAGUACACUUCAAGGGGACAAUCUUGUUGGUUUUUUUAGUUAUAUUAUGAUAAAAUUUGUAAUAUUUUAAAUUUGAGACCAAUUAUUAGCACUCAGUAUUGGUUUGGCUAGGUUGAUUGUGU
rnacentral:misc_RNA from 1 species